AUGUGCUGGAUCUAUCGCCAUCUAGUGGCAGCUGAGGAGUACUGCAGCGACGUAUGACCUCCUUUGGCUCUCCGUAGAAGGCUAUUUAAAGCCCCGCACACCAGAUGGUGUCCUCUGUGACUGAGUUUCUGUGGGGGGAGUAGGGAUUGUGCGGGGAUCCUGUGGCCUGACACCCAGUGCUGAUAAGUGCCGGGUCCCUGAUGUCAUAUAAUACAGGACAGGUGCGGGGACCCUGAAGCCCGGAUCAUACAGGAGAAGUGCCGGGUCCCUGAUGUCAUAUAAUACAGGACUGGUGCGGGGACCCUGAAGCCCGGAUCAUACAGGAUAAGUGCCGGGUCCCUGAUGUCAUAUAAUACAGGGCAGGUGCGGGGACCCUGAAGCCCGGAUCAUACAGGUGAUGUCUGGGGAUGACUGAGGAGCGGCACGCAGCUUAGCGGGUGAGUAUACACUGACAGUAGAUCUACAGGAGGCCAGAGGCACGGUCGCUGGAGGGUCAGCACUGAACCAGAGCAGAUCUGCUCUAUACAAUGUGUGAAAUUGGAAUGGUUUCUAUUUCCUUAUUAUUUCAAUAAAACUAUUAAACCAA